UAUGAAAGAGACUGAGCCCCUAUGAGUGAGGGUGAUGUCAACACAACAGCAGGCACCCUUGGUAACCAAGUCAGCUUCCAUAUUGAUCAGGACUCUUUUGAUUGCAAGAAACCAAACUCGGAUCUUUAUAAAAGCAAAGGUAAUUGACUCAGUCAGAAGCACAUACAGCACGAGAGUUGUAGGCAUGGCUACACUUAAGCCAUCCCUUUAUCUGGCUUUCAUUAGAGCCUCGGCCGCGCCUCUUUUGUGGGAGAGACUUGAGGGAGCCGAGGCAGUUUCCCAGCCGCUGUGAUGUUGCUAAAGAUUAAAAAGGAGCUUUGAAGCUGCACCAGUUCUCUCUGUGCCCCCUCGGUACAGGACCUCAGAAAGACCCAAGCCAUCUGGCAAACCUGACAUAAAGACAAAAUAAAGUGAUUGAAACAGUC
ensembl:lncRNA LINC02178 long intergenic non-protein coding RNA 2178